CAUCCAAUGGCUCUCAUCACCCAUUAACCUUGGCCAACAUGACAGCUGUUGGAGAUGCACAGAGCCAACUUCAAGGCCUGGGCAGAGGUGCUGCUGGCUCCCUGUGUCUUCAUGCUGCAAAACUUCUCUGUGCACCUUCACUUGCUCUGCUGCCUUGGCAGGGCUGGAAAAACACUCAUUUGAUGGCAGCAAGAAUAAGAGGAGCUGUGGCAAGGGUUUGGACCCAGAAUAUCCAUUACUGCACCUGCCAUUCUGAUGUUCCUCAGCUGGAAGCAGAAGGAUGCUCCACUGAUGGGGUGAGUCCAGAAAAGGGUUGUCAGUGGCAGCUUGACCUUUUUGGUCCCUGUGGUGCCUUGGGAGGGCCAGGGCAGCUGCAUCCUUUCACUGCCUGACUUAGGGACAUAGGAGCAUCUCUUGUGCCCAAAAAGGAAGAACUCCACAUGGUGCAGAUGGCAUUUCAUACAGAUUUGGUUGGGUGUUAUCUGCUGUGAACAUAAAUACCAGCUCAGUAGUUUCACUCUUAUAAAUGAUAAGCUGAAACCUCUUUUGGUUGUUUCUCAGUCAAAUGCCAGUAAUAAAAUGAAAAAUCACCAUCAACCCCCACCCCCUUUAUUUGCAUAGUUUUGAUGCUGUCAAAAAAACAGACAACACUCAUGUAGCAUAAGGAGAAUUUUUAAAUAGAAGCAUUACAUUUUAAAACCCUAAUAAAGAUAAAAGCAAAAUAAAGAGCAAAAUUUGAAUUUAGAGAAUGGGAGAAGAAAGAUUAGUCUGUGCUGAUGAAGUAAUGAAGGUAGUGUCUGGUAACAAUUUUUAAUAGCACAUUAAUGCUGAAUUACUUUGGAAUUUCUUCAGGAGUCGAGAUGACAUCCACAUAAACACCAAAUGAAUUCCAAAUGAUUGGUAUUAUCAUAAAGAGCACUAAAUGAAUUAAUAAUGACGGAACACUUAAACUAAAACGUUAUCUUCUCUAAUCUGUUGUCUCUUUUAUGCACUGCUCAAUUCAUUUUUAGCCAACUAUGACCCUUUCUUUCGUUUGUCUUUUAAUUUAAGAUAUAUAUAUAUUUAUUUUUGCACAAAUGUUCUGCUCCUGUACUGCAUGAAGCAGGACGUGGACUAGUCCAUCUUCAUAACAGUUUUGUGUUGGCAUCACAAAAUGUAAGAGAUAGAUGGGAAGACAUCUGGACGUGAGACAUAUCGCUGGGAAAAUGACUAUGACUAAUAAGAACCAUAAUAAUAACAAUUCUGCCUUGAUGGUCCCACAUGUGCAGAGACCUCAGGGCACCCUUAACAGCACUUAAUAGACUAAAUGGCUCACUUUA